rnacentral:rRNA from 1 species
AUGAGUAUUGUUGCUAAAUUUCAUAGAAAGGUUGUUGGCUGCCAUUCUUUGGACCAAUGCAUCUGUUUCUUGUGCUCAAGCUCUUUUUUACCUGAUGAGAUUCUAUCAAGUAUUCUGUGGAUAGUUGGGAACACAGACAAUUCUACAUUACUUGAAAAGAGCAUUGACUUCAUAUCAACUGUCAUCGAUGAUCAAGAUGUGAUUGCCAUGCUUAUCCAGCCCUUGCUUAAAGUGGGUUUAGUUGACCGUGCUAUUGGGUUACCAACAACUGAGAUUGAAAGAUCACCAAUGAGAAGCUAG